GAAAUGCGAUAAGUAAUGUGAAUUGCAGAAUUCAGUGAAUCAUCGAAUCUUUGAACGCACAUUGCGCCCGCCAGUAUUCUGGCGGGCAUGCCUGUCCGAGCGUCAUUUCAACCAUCAAGCCCCCGGGCUUGUGUUGGGGACCUGCGGCUGCCCGCAGGCCCUGAAAACCAGUGGCGGGCUCGCUGUCACACCGAGCGUAGUAGCAAUCACCUCGCUCAGGGCGUGCUGCGGGUUCCGGCCGUUAAACAGCCUUACAAAACCCAAGGUUGACCUCGGAUCAGGUAGGAAAACCCGCUGAACUUAAGC
rnacentral:misc_RNA from 1 species